rnacentral:snRNA from 1 species
GUGCUCGCUUCAGCAGCACAUAUACUAAAAUUGGAACAAUACAGAGAUUAGUAUGGCCCCUGCACAAGGAUGACAUGCAAAUUUGUGAAGUGUUCUAUAUUAAA